GUUUUAAUAGUUUAAAUAAAACAAUGAUCUUGUAAAUCAUAGAUAGAAAGAAUCUUUAAAACU
rnacentral:tRNA from 1 species